CAAGAAAUAGUCUAAUGAGGAUAUUAACUUUGGAAGUUAAAGGUGUUGUUAAAAUUUUCUUGA
rnacentral:tRNA from 1 species